UCCCGGAGCUCCUGCGCGGCUGCCAGGUAUGUCCUGGCCACCCCAAAUCCCCCCCUUCCAGCCUGAGGACAUCAUCCAUCGGCAGCACUAAAGCCAAGGGGAUUUCUCUCACAGAGAUGAAAUCCCCAGCAAUUCUCUCAGAGAUGCCUUAAAAUGAAAGGUUAGACAAAUGUGUUUGGAUGAAGUUUGGAGUUUUUCAGGGAGCCAGCUGGAAGCUGAUGAAGAAGUGAUGGAAAGCUUUUGCAGGUGGCCUGGUGAUGCCAGGGGGGUUUCUCCUGCUCCUCUCCAGCCUGAGGCCUCUUCUCUCUUCCCCACCAGCUGCUGCCAAGGAAGGAGGACACAUUAUUCCAGGUUUUCCCAGUUAGGAGCUGCAAGGAAUUGAGGCAAAAGACAGUGGGGAACAGCUGUAAAUUCAAAGGAAGAAAGAGAAGAUCUACCAGCAAAGGGGAAAGGCUUCAGAAAACAUUUCUGCAAUUAGUAAUUAUUUCCAAUUCCCCAGUGAGAAGAGAUCUUUGGGGAAUCCCUGGUUGUUGUCCAGAAUCUAUAUAAA